rnacentral:rRNA from 1 species
UACGAGGGAUGCAAGCGUUAUCCGGAAUUAUUGGGCGUAAAGCGUUUGUAGGCGGGCGAGUGUGUUUAAUGUUAAAUCUUAAAGCUCAACUUUGAAAUUGCGUUAAAAACUGCUUGUCUUGAGUAUGGUAGGGGUAAAGGGAAUUCCCAGUGUAGCGGUGAAAUGCGUAGAUAUUGGGAAGAACACUAAACAGCGAAGGCACUUUACUAGGCUAAUACUGACGCUGAGAAACGAAAGGUAAGGUAGCGAAACGGAUUAGAUACCCGUGUAGUCUUACCCGUAAACUACGGACACUAAACGGUAAAUUUUUAAUUUACUGUUAAAGCUAACGCGUUAAGUGUCCCGCCUGGGGAGUAUGCUUGCAAAAGUGAAACUCAAAGGAAUUGACGGGGGCCCGCACAAGCGGUGGAGCAUGUGGUUUAAUUCGACGGUACACGAAGAACCUUACCAGGAUUUGACAUGCUAGAUAGUUGCUUGAAAGAGUAACGUGCCGUAAGGAAUCUAGACACAGGUGGUGCAUGGCUGUCGUCAGUUCGUGUUGUGAAAUGUUGGGUUAAGUCCCGCAACGAACGCAACCCUUGUCUUUAGUUAUUUUCUAAAGAGACUGCCUGUAAUAAACAGGAGGAAGGUAAGGAUGAGGUCAAGUCAUCAUGCCCCUUAUGUCCUGGGCUACACACGUGCUACAAUGGGAAAGACAAUGAGCUGCAAAUCUGUAAAUUUAAGCAAAUCUCUUAAACUUUCUCGUAGUUCGGAUUGUGGGCUGCAACUCGCCCACAUGAAGUUGGAAUCGCUAGUAAUCGCCAGUCAGCUAUAUGGCGGCGAAUCCGUUACCCGGGCCU